rnacentral:rRNA from 1 species
AGCCUGAACGCUGGCGGCGUGGCUAAGACAUGCAAGUCGCACGGCCGUAGCAAUACGGCAGUGGCGGACGGGUGAGUAAUGAAUCGCUAAUGUACCCCGGACUCUGGGAUAGCUGCCCGAAAGGGCAGGUAAUACCAGAUGAUAUACCCAGAAGGCAUCUUUUGGGUCUCAAAGGUCCGCCGGUCUGGGAGCAGGCGAUUUCGUAUCAGGUAGUUGGUGCGGGUAACGGCCCACCAAGCCGACGACGCGUAGCUGGUCUGAGAGGACGGCCAGCCACAUUGGGACUGAGACACUGCCCAGACUCCUACGGGGGGCUGCAGUAACGAAUCUUCCGCAAUGCACGCAAGUGUGACGGAGCGACGCCGCGUGGAGGUUAAGUCCUUCGGGAUGUAAACUCCUGUCAGGGGUUACCAAGUUCUGAGGAGCCCCAGAGGAAGGCACGGCUAACUCUGUGCCAGCAGCCGCGGUAA